UACGGAGGGUGCAAGCGUUGUCCGGAUUUAUUGGGUUUAAAGGGUGCGUAGGCGGCCUCUUAAGUCAGUGGUGAAAGCCCGCGGCUCAACCGCGGAACUGCCAUUGAUACUGGGAGGCUUGAGUUCGGUCGAGGCGGGCGGAACUGGCGGUGUAGCGGUGAAAUGCUUAGAUACCGCCAAGAACCCCGAUUGCGUAGGCAGCUCGCUGUGCCGAAACUGACGCUGAGGCACGAAAGCGUGGGGAGCGAACAGG
rnacentral:rRNA from 1 species